rnacentral:rRNA from 1 species
CGGAGGAUCCAAGCGUUAUCCGGAAUCAUUGGGUUUAAAGGGUCCGUAGGCGGUUUUAUAAGUCAGUGGUGAAAUCUGGUCGCUCAACGAUCAAACGGCCAUUGAUACUGUAAGACUUGAAUUACUUGGAGGUAACUAGAAUAUGUAGUGUAGCGGUGAAAUGCUUAGAGAUUACAUGGAAUACCAAUUGCGAAGGCAGGUUACUACAAGUAUAUUGACGCUGAUGGACGAAAGCGUGGGGAGCGAACAGGAUUAGAUACCCUGGUAGUCCACGCCGUAAACGAUGGAUACUAGCUGUUUGGAGCAAUCUGAGUGGCUAAGCGAAAGUGAUAAGUAUCCCACCUGGGGAGUACGCUCGCAAGAGUG